UUGAAAACUUUUAGCUUUUAUCUGGAACUAAUCACCCUGUCCUGAGACUUUAGUGGUCUUUAUCUAUGUACCUCCUAUAACACUUAUCACCAACUUUUGAAAGUAUUUGUUCAUUUUUUUUUCAACAAAUAUUCAUUGAACAUCUAUUAUGUGCCAGGCACUAUGCUAGGAAAACAGUGGUGAGCAAAACAGAUAAAAUUCCUACCCUCGUAAUACAAAGGUGAGAUGACAAACAUUAAUCAAAUAAUCACAGAUACCAAAAAUGAAAUAUGUCAUCCAAACUGAAACCGGUCCCAGGGAGGAUAGGUACAGACUGUCAUGAAAGUUCACAUGUCUAAUCUCUCUCCUUGCAGGAAUUUGGCCGACUCAGCCUCAAUAUGUAGCCCAGAGCUGUAUGUGGGGAGGUGUUCAGAGUUUUUGUUGAAUGAACAUAUGCAUCUAUUUUUUACAUUCAAACACAAGAUCAUUUUGGAAGGGCCCGAAGAGUACAACAUGAUAAAGAGAUUCUGAAAAUUCCAGUCGUUUUUUGACAUCCCAGUUGCCACUCCAGGAUGCGCUGUCCUCCUUACAGAUCCUGAAUGAAGCAGGAGGUGGAGGACUGGACAUGGAGAACAGGUGCCACCUUAGAGCUUCUUUUGGAAUAUCUGCCCCACAAAGGUAGAUCCCAGGAGCGUGUCCAUUGAGUUCUGUUUCAGGUGUCAGCUCUGCAAAGCCCUAAAUCCUGCCAAAUACUGUUUCUUUACUUCGAAGCUAUCAGAGGAGAGGGAAACAGAUUUUGUGGCCAAUUUUAGCCCUUUGUAAUUGACUUCCAACUCAGGAGAUGGUAGAUUUUUAUUUUUGAAAGAAGAUUCUUUUUCUCAUUAAAAAAACAGUGUUUUUUUGUUUUUUUUUUUUAAUAAAACUUUUAGAGAGGAGGUUUGAGAACAUUUAGGGGAAGCCUCCUUAGGGAAGAAACUUAGUUUGUGUAUGAAUUUAGUUUGUAUGCUCUUCUUACUGUUUGUUUUCAUUGGAAACUUAACUUGGUAGGUUUUUGCAAAACAUUUAGCCAAGUUUUGCUUUGGGGCUUUGGGCUGCUAUUUUUGUGGCUUGUUUUAUUUGAAAACUUUAUUUGUUUAGAAACUGAGGCCACAGGACUUUCAACAAAAUCAAGUUUCUAAAGAGGCUCUCCAUUUUUUCCUCCCUACUUCAGGUCCAAAAAUAUGGUGGAAGAUUUCUAUAAAUAAUUUUUUUUUAACUUCUGGACUUGAGCUUGCCCAUUUUUAAUUGGAAACUGAGGCCAGGGAAUUUCAAUAUGUCUUUUAAAAUCUGAAUCUUUCUCUGCUAUCUUUAUUCUUUAUAUCAGAAGAUUUUUGUUUUCUUAGCGUAUGUCUGUACUUUGUUUUAUAUUGGUAACAGUAGCAUGGGAGCUUGAAAUACCAUCCCACAUUGGAAAACUUUAAAGGCACUUAAAAACUGUACAACCAAACUUUGGGGUGCAUAUUUUUGCUAUCUUCAUUUUGUUUGAAAGUAGAAGUUUUGAUUGCGUGUUGUGUAUUUAUACCAUAUGGUAUUUCAGUGUGAGUGGCAGUUAAAUUCAUUUCUUCUUUAUUUUACUUAACAUAUAUUUACUGAAAUCCUUCUUGGUGCUAGGUACUCCCCUGGGUAUAGCAGUGAGCAAAAAAAACAAAGCCCUUGGCCCUAUGAUUGGAUUCAGUGGGUUCUUGGUCAGAUAUUCCAUUUAGGAAUGGGGGCUUUUGAUUUGGGGUUUCCCAAAUGAUGCUGGUGGUAAAGAACUCGCCUGCCAGUGCCGGAGACAUAAGAGACUCGGGUUCAAUCCCUGGGUCAGGAAGAUCCCCUAGAGGAGAGCAUGGCAACCCACUCCAGUAUUCUUGCCUGGAGAAUCCCUUGGGCAGAGGAGCCUAGCAGACUAGGUGUCCAUUGGGUUGCCAAGAGUCAGACAUGACUGAAGUGACUUAUUAUGCACACACAGUAUUUAUGGCUGGACAGGAGACUGAGGGUUGAAGGAUGUCAGAGACAGGUUUCAGGUUGAGCUGGAGUUGGUGGUCAGUGCUGGUUGUAGAAUUGGGAAGGGUGGGCUGGAAAUGGGAGAGUACGGGGAGAAGGAUGAAAUCCAGAUUUGGGUAUUUGGAUUGAGGUCUAAUAGGGUCAGGGUUUCCUAAUGUCACCCAGCAUAUGGGAUGGUAGAAUGCAUGCCUGUUUUUACAGAUAUGUCUCCUUAGUGCUGACUGGAUGAUCUGCAAAAGAUCCCACUCUAAACGUGUAGAAUUGCCCUUUACCUACCCCAGCAUAUGCACACACAUACUAGGGAGAGAGUUACAUUCAUUAAUUCUGUCUUCAUUUCUUUUGACAAAUAUUUACUGAGCUCCUGCCUUGUGCCAGGUACUUAUCCAGGCCUUGGGGUAUGUCAGUGAACAAAACAGAUGAAAUCCUUGACCUCAAUCUAAUAAUGCUUAGAUUGAAGUGAGUGUACAUCUAAAUAAGUACUCUUUGAAAUGCAUAGCUGAGUUAGAAAUUAAGACAAAAUAAAGUCAUGCUUUGCUGGGAUGUCAGGCAGAGUCAAGUAGGGAGUUGAGUUUAAUGCUUGAGUGGGGAGUUGAGUUUAAUGCUUGAGGAAGUUAGACUCUGGGGCUACACAUGAAAGAGUUAUAACCAAGACCCUCCCCACCCGUUGAAAAGUCAUGACAUCUCAGUUGGACCAAGGAAAAUGUCACACUCUGGCACAGAGGGACCACAGGGAAGCUCUGCCUCAGUGUGGAGAAUCUGCAGGGAAAAAAUUCAGUUCUUACUCUCAAAAGGCACAGACCAGAACCUCACCUGAAUUUGUGAUCUGAAAUGCAAUAGCCAGGACAUUGGGAAGACUUAAGAAAGUCAAGUCUGGGGGGUAAAAAGUAGAGCCAUCAGGAAGAGCAUAUGUAACACUGCUUAAAACGACAUUCCUCCAGCCCACACCACAGAAGGGUCUCAGGGAGAACCAAGCUCUGAUAAAGAUGAGCUCGUUGUAAAACGUGUCAACUUAUAUAAGAGGACAGUGAAUGGCAACUUAUAUAAGAGUGAGUGAAUGGCAACAGAAACAAUAUAAUGUGAGUUUACAGUUCUGAGAACUAAGUUGAAUGGAAUGACUGUCAGAAAGAGGAUAUAAAGAAAGGCUGUUUAAAAUAAUUUAAAAUGUGAAUCAAAACUUUUAAGAAAGAAUAAGACCCUGAGUUGACAGAGCCAG
ensembl:lncRNA